rnacentral:rRNA from 1 species
GACAGAGGGGGCAAGCGUUGUCCGGAAUCACUGGGCGUAAAGGGCGCGUAGGCGGCUCAUGAAGGCUGUGGUGAAAGUCCGGGGCUCAACCUCGGAUCGGCCGUGGCGACUCGUGGGCUGGAGCACUGUAGAGGCGGGUGGAAUUCCGGGUGUAGCGGUGGAAUGCGUAGAGAUCCGGAAGAACACCAGUGGCGAAGGCGGCCCGCUGGGCAGUGGCUGACGCUGAGGCGCGACAGCGUGGGGAGCAAACAGG